AUACGGAGGAUCCGAGCGUUAUCCGGAUUUAUUGGGUUUAAAGGGUGCGCAGGCGGCCAUUUAAGUCAGCGGUUAAAUCGUGGGGCUCAACCCCAUUCUGCCGUUGAUACUGGGUGGCUUGAUUGCUGUCGAGGUUGGCGGAAUUCGUUGUGUAGCGGUGAAAUGCAUAGAUAUGACGAAGAACACCGAUUGCGUAGGCAGCUGACCAGAUCGCAAAUGACGCUCAUGCACGAAAGUGCGGGGAUCGAACAGGAUUAGAUACCCUGGUAGUCCGCACAGUAAACGAUGAAUACUUGUUUUCGGCGAUAUAAUGUCGGAGGCAAAGCGAAAGCGAUAAGUAUUCCACCUGGGGAGUACGCCGGCAACGGUGAAACUCAAAUGAAUUGGCGGGG
rnacentral:rRNA from 1 species